rnacentral:rRNA from 1 species
UUGAUCCUGGCUCAGGAUGAACGCUGGCGGCGUGCUUAACACAUGCAAGUCGAACGAAGCCCUCGGGCUUAGUGGCGGACGGGUGAGUAACGCGUGAGAAUCUACCUUCUAGAUGGGGACAACCGUUGGAAACGACGGCUAAUCCCCAAUAAGCCGAGAGGUGAAACGGGUAUCCGCUAGAAGAGGAGCUCGCGUCCGAUUAGUUAGUUGGUGGGGUAAAAGCCUACCAAGGCAGCGAUCGGUAGCUGGUCUGAGAGGAUGAGCAGCCACACUGGGACUGAGACACGGNCCAGACUCCUACGGGAGGCAGCAGUGGGGAAUUUUCCGCAAUGGGCGAAAGCCUGACGGAGCAACGCCGCGUGUGGGAAGAAGGCUCUUGGGCUGUCAACCACUUUUCUCAGGGAAGAAGUCCUGACGGUACCUGAGGAAUCAGCCUCGGCUAACUCCGUGCCAGCAGCCGCGGUAAAUACGGAGGAGGCAAGCGUUAUCCGGAAUUAUUGGGCGUAAAGCGUCCGCAGGGGGCGCAUCAAGUCUGCUGUUAAAGGUCGGAGCUAAACUCCGGUAGAGCAGUGGAAACUGGUGCGCUAGAGGGUGACAGGCGUAGAGGGAAUUCCCAGUGUAGCGGUGAAAUGCGUAGAGAUUGGGAAGAACACCGGUGGCGAAAGCGCUCUACUGGGUCGGACCUGACCCUCAGGGACGAAAGCUAAGGUAGCGAAAGGGAUUAGAUUACCCUGUAGUCUUAGCCG